rnacentral:sRNA from 1 species
AUUUUGUGCGAGAGGUGGUCUCUCAAACCAGUUGGGCUAAUUUUUUCACUCGGAAUUCUACAUGCCCGCGUCAACAGUGUUGCAAUUAGGACAAUACACUUUAUUCAAAUUUGAACUUCUGCCGCUCCUUGUUUCAAUAGAUAUGUUCCGAUAUGUAUCGAUGGUUGUGACUCAUAUCCAGUGCUACCAAUUCAGCUAUUAUAGCUAGUUUGUGGAUAUUUUUCAAGUUCGAUUGCUAAUUUGCUUUUGCAUAUGGUUUAUAGCUAUUGGCCGUCUUGGGCUGAAGUUUUUACGUCUUACCCCAGGUCAACAUAGAUACGUGUUGCGGAGGCAAUGCCUAAAUACAUUUGUUAACAGCACUGGGUUUUUACCAAACACAGAUCCUGCUCAUCA